CAAAAAAUACUAUAUUAUUUUUGCUCCAGAUUAUUAUCUUGGUUUCUUCAAAUUUUAAUUUUACAUACUUUCAAAUAAUUAAUAGUUUGAGAUUGUUUAAUUUAUCUGACUGAAAUCGAGGAUUUCGUUCCAUUCAUUUCCAACAUAAGGAAAGUAUUUGCUCGUUGUGGGAAGGAAUUUGCGUUUGAUCUGCCACAAUUUGCUCUCGUGGGUGGGAAAGGUACCGGAAAGUCCAGCCUCCUUGAAUCUCUCGUCGGGAAGGACUUUCUCCCCCGCGGCGCGACAAGAGCUCCACUCGUUCUGAAUUUGCGAAAAUCCGAUUGUCAGGAGCAAGGCAUUUUUCUACAUCGACCUGGGGAAAAGAUACACGAUUUUUCCCGGAUUAGAGAAGAAAUUGCCAACCGUACAGUUAUUCUCGCAGGUGCGGGACAAAAUAUCUCGAGAAUUCCAAUCACGCUGACGAUAUUUUCACCGGAAGUGGCGGUUUAAAUUUGAUCGAUUUACCAGGACUUGUUCGUCUCAGCCUAGACUGCCAACCUGACAAUUUUGUGGAACAGACAAAAUCCACAAUAAUGGAGUAUAUCUCGAAGGAGGAAACUAUUAUUCUCGCGGUUACCGCCGAGGGCUUGGUUAUGUCGCAGGCACUUGAGCAGGCAAUGAUGGUCGACCCGGAAGGAGCAAGAACAAUCGGUGUCAUUACCAAGCUUGACCGCGCCCAAGAUAUUGCGAUGGCCGAGUUGGACAAUAAGGUUGUCCCUUUGAAGUGGGGCCAUGUGGGGGUCGUUCUUCGCUCAGAAGCCGUUAAGUGUUGGAAAUAUUGAAUUUUUUCUGUCCUUAACCCUUUAACGUGUACGAUUAACGACAAGAAAAUGCAUCAUUAAUACGGGGGCGGUAUAAGUAUGUUGCCGUCAUG